ensembl:lncRNA
CUUAAAGUGAAAACUCCAUACAGCUGAGAGGAACUGUCUGUGUUCUCUAGUUCUUACCCUAUCAUUCUCACUGUUCUGAAGUGCAAAAGAAAAAGCUUCAACUUUCCUCUUCAGAUGCCAGUGGCUCCUCUCUAAGCCUGGCCUAACCCUUGCAGUCCAGAAAAUGGGGAGGCGCUAAAAGGCAGGAUUAAGUUUCCAGAGAGGACUGCCAGCUAGCUGUGUUUCAGGACUUGUAGGUUAGAAGGAAGUUUGCUGCUCUAAUGGAAGCCUGAGGAGCCCCUCUGGUUGCCAGGCAAGGGCUGAACUCCAAGCCAGGGGCUGCUCUUGGUGGUUAGGGAGCAGUCUCAAACAGGAAGGUGCCAGACAGCCAGAAGAGGCUGGAAGGUACUGUACUGUAGACCCGUACCAGGUGCUCCUGGUGCAGCAGGAGCCCACGGUGCCUGAUGGAGAUGCAGCUUUGGGGCAAUUCGAGAAGGUGCCACACUGGGAUCUACACACAGCUCCAGGAAGAGUGCAGGGGACACAGGGAUGUCUAUGCCUCAGCGAGGCAGUCACCCAGCAAGUGUGUUCCCUGGCCCCCUCGUGCCUGUCUUCCCUUGACUAUCCUUGCUUCCUCUUAGCUUUCAUUUGAAGGCAGCUGAGAGAGAAAUAAACUACCACCUCCCCACCUUGAUUUUGUUUCUUUGCUUUCAACAGUAAAUCAGGAUGGGGUAUGUGGAGAGACUGACAGUUUUGAUGUGAUGAAGGAGGUAAAACUCAGUGGUCCUGCAUGUGCCUCCUGGAGCUGUGCAGAAUUCCCGAGGAAACGUUGACUCUCAACAGGAAUAUCAAGGGAGAUCCCGAGGCUCACGGCUCUCCGCUGGCAUCUGGACAGUGCCUGUCUCCUGCAGCCACCCCGGGCAGCAGAGGCCGGGACCAGCGUUGAGAUCCGCCUGCCAGGACUCGGCCCCUCGAGCCGCCCGAAGAGUUUGGAGAAGCGGAGUGACUGGGAAUCACAGUGAAUUACCGAACUUCCUAACUUGCCUCCCCGUCUCUGGUCACCUUUUGCCAGCCUUGGACCCGGGAGAGGGCUCACCCUUCGCCGGCAGCCGGCAGCGGCGCUUCCCGCGCUGCGCCGCUGACGCACAGUGAAGACUCAGAGCUUUGGCUGGUCCGGAGACUCCAAACCCGGGUGACCUGGGUAUGGCGCGGUGCUCAUGGGCCAGAGCGCACAAGGCUCGGGUUGCAAAUGCUGUAACUAAAAUGUGAUGAGCGCAAACAGUGUGCCAAGCUCACCUAUUCAACAACCAUUAAGAUAUUGAUAUUUCCUUUUCACGGAGGCGACAGCCAAGGCUGGAGAAAAUGGAAUCAUACAGCCCUGAACCCAGAGGACUCCUACGCACCCCCAGUCAGGGCCCACUCCAGAGCAAUGGGAGAGGGAGCGGGCCCUCGGGCGGCUGUUCCUCGGAAGUGUAAGGGCCAGACAAACUCCGAGCAGCGAGCAGCGGUUCUCAGAGCUCCCCAGGAAUCUCUGCCCUUUGUCGCUCCAGUGAGCUAGGACUCCAGGCUCCUCUCACCCUGGCACCUCCUAAAGGAACUUCAGGGCCUCUGCUGGAGCUUGGAGCAGCGUCAGACCGGCGUUAACUCAUUUGUACAACUUGAUUGUUCAGUCUUU